AACGGGUGAGUAACGCGUGAGGAACCUGCCUUCCAGUGGGGGACAACAGUUGGAAACGACUGCUAAUACCGCAUAACACAAUCGAGCGGCAUCGCUUGAUUGUCAAAGCUUAAUGUGCUGAAAGAUGGUCUCGCGUCUGAUUAGCUAGAUGGCGGGGUAACGGCCCACCAUGGCGACGAUCAGUAGCCGGUCUGAGAGGAUGAACGGCCACAUUGGGACUGAGAUACGGCCCAGACUCCUACGGGAGGCAGCAGUGGGGAAUAUUGGGCAAUGGGGGAAACCCUGACCCAGCAACGCCGCGUGAAGGAAGAAGGCCUUCGGGUUGUAAACUUCUUUUAGUAGGGACGAAGAACGUGACGGUACCUACAGAAAAAGCAACGGCUAACUACGUG
rnacentral:rRNA from 1 species